rnacentral:misc_RNA from 1 species
UUUCCGUAGGUGAACCUGCGGAAGGAUCAUUAGUGAAUUGAAUAUGUUAGCGGACCUCUUCGGAGUCCCUAGCAUCAAAUCAUAUCCAUAACACCUGUGAACUGUAAGGCUGUCUUGAAGACGAAAGUGAUUAGAGCGCCUGCCCAUUUUAUGCAAUCAUUAAAGUAACAAACGUAGUAUUAUUAUAAUCUAAUAAAACUUUCAACAACGGAUCUCUUGGCUCUC